rnacentral:rRNA from 1 species
AGUGGCAGACGGGUGAGUAACGCGUGGGAAUCUACCUUGUAGUGGGGAAUAGCCUUUCGAAAGAGAGGGUAAUACCGCAUGUUUCCAAAUUUAUUUGGAAAAAGACUUCGGUCGCUAUAAGAGGAGCCCGCGUCCUAUCAGGUAGUUGGUGGGGUAAUAGCCUACCAAGCCAAUGACGGGUAGCCGGUGUGAGAGCACGACCGGCCACAAGGUCACUGAAACACGGGGCCUACACCUACGGGUGGCAGCAACCGGGAAUAUUGCGCAAUGGGCGAAAGCCUGACGCAGCGACACCGCGUGUGGGAAGAAGCUUUUCGGAGUGUAAACCACUGUGGCAAGGGAAGAAUUUUUGACGGUACCUUGCUAGAAAGCACCUGCUAACUACGUGCCAGAAGCCUCGGUAAUACGUAGGGUGCAAGCGUUAUCCGGAUUUAUUGGGCGUAAAGAGUUCCGCAGGCGUCUUUACAAGUUUCUUGUUUAAGCCUGAGGCUCAACUUCAGAAAAGCAAGAAAAACUGUAAAGAUUGAGUUUGUUUGGGGAAGCUGGAAUUCUCGGUGGAGGGGUGAAAUCCGUAAAUAUCGAGAGGAACACCAAUCGCGAAGGCAAGCUUCUAAAACAAUACUGACGCUAAGGGACGAAAGCUUGGGUAGCAAAAGGGAUUAGAGACCCCUGUAGUCCAAGCCGUAAACUUUCCUCGCUAGUUGCCUGGUUAAUAAUGCAU